rnacentral:rRNA from 1 species
GGCCGCGGUAUUCCUGACCGUGCGAAGGUAGCAUAAUCAUUAGUCUUUUAAUUGGAGGCUCGUAUGAAUGGUUGGACGAAAAAUGAUCUGUCUCUUAGUUGAAAUCUGAAUUUAACAUUUAAGUGAAAAGGCUUAAAUACAGUAAAAAGACGAUAAGACCCUAUAAAUCUUUACACCACUUAAAAAUUUAGAGCUAGUUAUAAGUAAAAUGUUAUUAAAUAUUUUAGGGUGUUUUGUUGGGGCAACAUGGAUAAAAAUUUAUCUGUCUAAAAGCAUUACAAAAAAUUUUUGAGUAAAGCUAUAAGAUCCUUUGUAGAGAUUACAAGAUUAAGUUACUUUAGGGAUAACAGCGUUAUUUUACUUGAGAGUUCAUAUCGAAAGUAAAAUUUGCGACCUCGAUGUUGAAUUAAAAUUUCUCUAUGGUGCAGCAGCUAUAAGAGAGAGUCUGUUC